UACGUAGGGACCAAGCGUUGUCCGGAAUCAUUGGGCGUAAAGAGCGUGUAGGCGGCUUGUUAAGUCUUGCGUGAAAUCUCGGGGCUCAACCCCGAGCGGUCGUGAGAAACUGGCAGGCUAGAGUGCGGGAGAGGAGAGUGGAAUUCCUGGUGUAGCGGUGAAAUGCGCAGAUAUCAGGAGGAACACCGGUGGCGAAGGCGGCAUCCUGGACCAAUUCUGACGCUGAGGAGCGAAAGCCAGGGGAGCAAACGGG
rnacentral:rRNA from 1 species